UCAGCAUACUACUGAAGAAUCCAGAAUUUGAAAAUGUUGAAUAAGCAGCUCAGGAAAAGCAAGUAACAUUCUCACUUUUCUACUGAGCUGUGGUGAUGUUCUGGGGAGAGGCCUGCAGUUUAAAGAAGAUUAGCACCUGAGGGAACCUGAAGUAAGGACUUCUUACAUUUCAAAAUCAGUAAGUCCCUAAAAAUAUAUUUUUAGACUAUGAGAGG